CCGCAGGAGGAUUGAGAAAAUAAGAGCUCUUUCUUGCUUCGGUGGAUCGUGGCGCAUAUCCGCUCUUUAUUGGUGGAGUGAUUUGUCCGGUUGAUUCCGAUAACGAACGAGGCUCUAGCCUAUUAAAUAGGUGCGUGGUUGCCUGCACCUUGCACCAUUCGUAGAGGGACAAGUGGCUCCUAGCCGCACGAAACAGAGCCAAAACAGGUUUGUGAUGCCCUUAGAU
rnacentral:rRNA from 1 species